rnacentral:rRNA from 1 species
UACAGAGGUCCCAAGCGUUGUUCGGAUUCACUGGGCGUAAAGGGUGCGUAGGUGGUUGUGCAAGUCUGAUGUGAAAUCUCCGGGCUCAACCCGGAAAUGGCAUUGGAAACUGCAUGGCUAGAGGGUUGGAGGGGGACUGGAAUACUUGGUGUAGCAGUGAAAUGCGUAGAUAUCAAGUGGAACACCAGUGGCGAAGGCGAGUCCCUGGACAACACCUGACACUGAGGCACGAAAGCUAGGGGAGCAAACAGG